AGGACAGAUCAACUCAAAAUGAAUUGUUUUCAUCUGGGGACCGCCCCUUUGCACAUCCCCUUUGCGCAUGCGCAACAUCCGUUCUGUCUUUUGCCGCCUUUUCUCUGACACUGACUGUGGAAACUGACUGAGGAAAGUCUAUUCUUUGUGUGACAACAUCAACACCAGGAGGGAGUGCAUCCUGAGAAGCCUUGUAAUAUACCUAAAUGAAGAUCCAGACUCGUUCUUCAAGGAGUAUCUGGCCUCCACCGCUGACGAUGCAGAGAGGGACAUUUCCAACACAGUCAUGGGGAUUUACACGAUCCGAAGAAACGGGGAUGGGGGGCCAGAGGACGUGGGAAUUGUUAUCGAAGGCAUUAAAGUCAUGGAAAACGUAGGCAGCGUCAUUGUGGGACUCAUCAUGCUCUUGGGGAUCAUUUAUGCCCUUGAUCUCAGCUUCCCGGACAACCUGAAGUACACCUUUGAGUUUCUACAGAAGGUCGUAAUGAACUUGGAUGGGCACAAGCUGAAUGCAAAAAUACAGCAGCUGAAAAUCAAGCUGUUUGCAUAAGAGGUGAACAAGUGUAUUGUCAAGUUUCCUUAACAAAUAUUUAGCUUUUUUUGUAAUUGUAGGUUCAAAGCAAAUGGCUACACUACACUUAUUCAAUUACCAAAUAUACUGUAGGGUUUGUGCAGUGCGCUCUUUUAUAUAUCAAAACCACCCAAUGAUAUUCCCUGUUUGGAGAGCAGUGCAAAGCAUCCACCUUUUUAUAGUGUCUUUGUUGUUUGUGGCACUGGGAGAUCUAGAAUAGCUGGGUGUUCAUUUUUCACCAGUUUCGGCACUGUUACGGGAGAGCUAUUUACACCACUUUAAAAAUGUUCUUUAAAAAAAAUAUUUUUACAUCUUGCUCUGUGUUUUCAAGUAGAGCUAAUAUUGAGAUGUGUACAUAAAUAUUGAUGUUGAAUUGAGGAUUACUGUCACCUUCCUCAUCCAUGAUUGGCAUUAUUAUUAUUUUUUUGAGUUGCUUUUAUCUCCUGCUCAGUCUGUUUAUUGAUAUGUUUUAUAAAAAAAGAAAUGCAGACAGACAAAUAACUCUGACAGAGAACUUUGACACUGUUUACACAAGUAAAGUGAGGAUUGGCUAUCCACCUCAAGGUGUAAUUGUUAUCUGAGAAUUUUCAAUAAAAAUAUCUCAACUAGG